GACGAACGCUGGCGGCGUGCUUAACACAUGCAAGUCGAACGGUGAAGCGCCUUCCUUUUUGGUGGGUGUGGAUGAGUGGCGAACGGGUGAGUAACACGUGAGUAACCUGCCCCCUUCUUCUGGAUAACCGCAUGAAAGUGUGGCUAAUACGGGAUAUUCUGGGUCUGUCGCAUGAUGGGUCUGGGAAAGAUAUUGUUUCGGUGGGGGAUGGGCUCGCGGCCUAUCAGCUUGUUGGUGGGGUGAUGGCCUACCAAGGCGGUGACGGGUAGCCGGCCUGAGAGGGUGGACGGUCACACUGGGACUGAGACACGGCCCAGACUCCUACGGGAGGCGGCAGUGGGGAAUAUUGCACAAUGGGCGCAAGCCUGAUGCCGCGACGCCGCGUGAGGGAUGGAGGCCUUCGGGUUGUGAACCUCUUUCGCCAGUGAAGCAGGCCUGCCUCGUUUGUGGGUGGGUUGACGGUAGCUGGAUAAGAAGCGCCGGCUAACUACGUG
rnacentral:rRNA from 1 species